CACGUAGGGGGCGAGCGUUGUCCGGAUUUAUUGGGCGUAAAGAGCUCGUAGGCGGCUCGGUAAGUCAGGUGUGAAAACUCUAGGCUCAACCUAGAGACGCCACCUGAUACUGCUGUGGCUAGAGUCCGGUAGGGGAGCAUGGAAUUCCUGGUGUAGCGGUGAAAUGCGCAGAUAUCAGGAGGAACACCAGUGGCGAAGGCGGUGCUCUGGGGGCCGGAACUGACGCUGAGGAGCGAAAGCGUGGGGGAGCAAACAGGAUUAGAA
rnacentral:rRNA from 1 species